GAACUGAGCAAAUGUCUUCCGAACUCCAUCUCGGUAGAAAACGAAGGCAUCACGGUGGGGAAACCGCUCCGCUGUCUCAUCCAGACACUGGCCCACAGUUUUGUUUAUAAGUGGAAUGUCUAAGGUCCCUUGGAUAUAGCUGUUGGUCACCCUACGGGAUGCAGAAAGUGUCCUUGUGUGCAGGGCACGCGCGCGCAGGAGGAGCAGCCCGCGGCGGGGCAGAGCUGCGAGGAGUGCCGCGGUAGCCAUGUGUGCGGUGACGGCAGAACCGGGGGGGCCGGGCCGCCUUCCCGCUCCUCUCCUCUCCGCUCCGCUCCGUACGCGGCUC
rnacentral:lncRNA from 1 species